AAGAGAAAAAUUUAAAUUUCAAUAACCAAAAUAACGAAAAUGGAAAUUUCAUAUUAUUUAAGGAGAAUAUUAAAGUAAACCUCUUGUUCUGUUAUGUCGAUUAGGCAACUGAAAUAGGUCAUCUUAGCAAACUACGAUCCUCAUGGUAACUAGGUCAGUCAUGGAGAUCUUGGCAGACAACAGGCCUCCUGGUAACUAGGUCAGUCAUGGAGAUCUUGGCAGACAUCAGGCCUCAUGGUAACUAGGUCAGUCAUGGAGAUCUUGGCAGACAACAGGCCUCAUGGUAACUAGGUCAGUCAUGGAGAUCUUGGCAGGCAACAGGCCUCAUGGUAACUAGGUC